rnacentral:rRNA from 1 species
CAGUCGCCACGGUAAUACAGAGGAUGCAAGCGUUAUCCGGAAUGAUUGGGCGUAAAGCGUCUGUAGGUGGCUUUUCAAGUCCGCCGUCAAAUCCCAGGGCUCAACCCUGGACAGGCGGUGGAAACUACCAAGCUGGAGUACGGUAGGGGCAGAGGGAAUUUCCGGUGGAGCGGUGAAAUGCGUAGAGAUGUGGAGGAACACCAGUGGCGAAGGCGACUCCCUGGUCUGUAACUGACGCUGAGGAGCGAAAGCGUGGGGAGCGAACAGGAUUAGAUACCCCCGUAGUCCCUGUCUCUUAUAA